UACGUAGGAGGCAAGCGUUGUCCGGAAUUACUGGGCGUAAAGCGCGUGUAGGUGGUGGGACAAGUCUGCUGUGAAAGCGCCUGGCUUAACCGGGCGAGGUCGGCGGAAACUGUCCGACUCGAGGACGGUAGAGGGGGGUGGAAUUCCCGGUGUAGUGGUGAAAUGCGUAGAGAUCGGGAGGAACACCUGUGGCGAAAGCGGCGCACUGGACCACAACUGACGCUGAGGCGCGAAAGCUAGGGGAGCAAACAGG
rnacentral:rRNA from 1 species